rnacentral:rRNA from 1 species
GAUGAACGCUGGCGGCGUGCCUAAUACAUGCAAGUCGAGCGAACGGACGAGAAGCUUGCUUCUCUGAUGUUAGCGGCGGACGGGUGAGUAACACGUGGAUAACCUACCUAUAAGACUGGGAUAACUUCGGGAAACCGGAGCUAAUACCGGAUGAUAUUUUGAACCGCAUGGUUCAAAAGUGAAAGACGGUCUUGCUGUCACUUAUAGAUGGAUCCGCGCUGCAUUAGCUAGUUGGUAAGGUAACGGCUUACCAAGGCAACGAUGCAUAGCCGACCUGAGAGGAUGAUCGGCCACACUGGAACUGAGACACGGUCCAGACUCCUACGGGAGGCAGCAGUGGGGAAUCUUCCGCAAUGGGCGAAAGCCUGACGGAGCAACGCCGCGUGAGUGAUGAAGGUCUUCGGAUCGUAAAACUCUGUUAUUAGGGAAGAACAUAUGUGUAAGUAACUGUGCACAUCUUGACGGUACCUAAUCAGAAAGCCACGGCUAACUACGUG